rnacentral:rRNA from 1 species
GGCGGAUGAUUAAGUGGGAUGUGAAAUACCCGGGCUCAACUUGGGUGCUGCAUUCCAAAAACUGGUUAUCUAGAGUGCAGGAGAGGAGAGUGGAAUUCCUAGUGUAGCGGUGAAAUGCGUAGAGAUUAGGAAGAACACCAGUGGCGAAGGCGACUCUCUGGACUGUAACUGACGCUGAGGCUCGAAAGCGUGGGGAGCAAACAGGAUUAGAUACCCUGGUAGUCCACGCGUAAACGAUGAAUACUAGGUGUGGGGGUUUCAACACCUCCGUGCCGCCGCUAACGCAUUAAGUAUUCCGCCUGGGGAGUACGGUCGCAAGAUUAAAACUCAAAGGAAUUGACGGGGACCCGCACAAGUAGCGGAGCAUGUGGUUUAAUUCGAAGCAACGCGAAGAACCUUACCUACACUUGACAUCCCUUGCAUUACUCUUAAUCGAGGAAAUCCCUUCGGGGACAAGGUGACAGGUGGUGCAUGGUUGUCGUCAGCUCGUGUCGUGAGAUGUUGGGUUAAGUCCCGCAACGAGCGCAACCCUUGUCGUUAGUUACUACCAUUAAGUUGAGGACUCUAGCGAGACUGCCUGGGUUGACCAGGAGGAAGGUGGGGAUGACGUCAAAUCAUCAUGCCCCUUAUGUGUAGGGCUACACACGUGCUACAAUGGCUGGUACAGAGAGAUGCAAUACCGCGAGGUGGAGCCAAACUUAAAAACCAGUCUCAGUUCGGAUUGUAGGCUGAAACUCGCCUACAUGAAGCUGGAGUUACUAGUAAUCGCGAAUCAGAAUGUCGCGGUGAAUACGUUCCCGGGUCUUGUACACACCGCCCGUCACACCAUGAGAGUUGGCAAUACCCGAAGUCCGUGAGCUAACCGCAAGGAGGCAGCGGCCGAAGGUAGGGUCAGCGAUUGGGGUGAAGUCGUAACAAGGUAGCCGUAGGAGAACCUGCGGCUG